CGCUGGCGGCAUGCCUUACACAUGCAAGGUCGAACGGCAGCACGGGAGCAAUCCUGGUGGCGAGUGCGAACGGGUGAGUAAUAUAUCGGAACGUGCCCGGUCGUGGGGGAUAACGUAGCGAAAGCUACGCUAAUACCGCAUACGAUCUACGGAUGAAAGCGGGGGAUCGCAAGACCUCGCGCGAUUGGAGCGGCCGAUAUCAGAUUAGGUAGUUGGUGGGGUAAAGGCUCACCAAGCCAACGAUCUGUAGCUGGUCUGAGAGGACGACCAGCCACACUGGAACUGAGACACGGUCCAGACUCCUACGGGAGGCAGCAGUGGGGAAUUUUGGACAAUGGACGCAAGUCUGAUCCAGCCAUUCCGCGUGCAGGAUGAAGGCCCUCGGGUUGUAAACUGCUUUGUACGGAACGAAAAGGUUUCUCUUAAUACGAGGAGCUCAUGACGGUACCGUAAGAAUAAGCACCGGCUAACUACGUG
rnacentral:rRNA from 1 species